AAACCUAAGACUUCAACCCUAAGUUACUCUGGGCUGGACCAAGGCUUUUUUGCAUACUCAGAGACCAGUAGAGCUCUGGCUCAUUGAAACAAACUUGGGCAGUCUUCACAGUGCUAGCGCUUGUGCAGAACAGGAUGUUGAAGACGCCCCAUCGUGGUGUUUUAUUUUGAUGGACAGAGGAAGAAAGGACUAGGAAAUGUGUCCUCAUCUGACAGCAGCAUAACCCAUAGACUGAUGAAAGUUCCUGCAGUCCUUCCUUCAUGACUUUCCUGAUGGAAUCUGAGCCCGCUGCAAUCCAAAACUCUUUUAUUCAUUUUUUGUUUUACAUGCUGGUUUAUAGCAGAGUGGCUGUCCUGUAUAACAGUUACACUGAGUGUGCUUGCCUCUCCUGCAUCCUCUUCUACCUCCUUUAAACCUCUUCCGCCUCUGCCACCCCUGAAAUAGCAAGACCAAUCCCUCGUCUUCCUCCUCCUCAUCAGCCUACUCCAUGCGAAGAUGACAAGGAUGAAGAUCUUUAAGAUGAUCCACUUCCACUUAAUGAAUAUGAAGAAUGUUUUCUCAACCUUGUGCUUUAAGAGCCUGGUCUCAUACUACUUGCUAUGCUUAGUUUCCCAGCUCCUAUAGUAUAUAUUUUCAAAUUAGUGGAAAGCUACUCACGAACUACAACUCUCAAGAGACACCCAUUUCUUCCAGGAUUCAAUCAUCCUCCUGAGCUUCAUAUAAGGAGACCAGAGAUGACUGAGACCACUCGUCUUCCCCAGGAC